rnacentral:rRNA from 1 species
AGAGCAUAAGGGCAUACGGUGGAUGGCUCGACAGAACGUGCUGACGAAGGACGUAGCAGCCUGCGAUAAGCUUCGGGGAGGUGGCAAGCAACCUUUGAUCCGGAGAUAUCCGAAUGGGGAAACCUGGUACGGGGAAAGCCGUAUCAUCUGGCGCUGAAUAUAUAGGCGUUGGAGAGGCACCUGGGGAAGUGAAACAUCUCAGUACCCAGAGGAAAAGAAAAAGAUCUGCUCGUUGUUAUGUAGAAACGUAGAAAGCGUAAGCGAUUCUACGGAGUUCUACAUACACAACGAGCCCAUUCCCUUAGUAGUGGCGAGCGAAAAGGGAUCAGUCCAAACCUUUAUAUAUAGGGGAAUCCACUGGAAAGUGGAACCAAAGAAGGUGAUAGUCCUGUACGCGAAAUAUAUCUGUGUGAUUGUAGUAAUGGCACUUGAGUACCACGAGACUCGAGAAAUCUUGUGGGAAUCUGCCGCGACUAUGUGGCAAGACUAAAUACAUGUUCUGAUCGAUAGUGAACCAGUACCGCGAGGGAAAGCUUAAAAGUACCCCGGAAGGGGGAUGAAAUAGUAUCUGAAACCGUAUGCUUACAAGGAGUCGGAGUCUUGUCGCAAGACAGGAUGACGGCGUUCCUAUUGAAGAAUGAGCCAACGAGUGUGCUACGUGUCGCACAGUUAAGUCCUCCGGGACGAAGCUAAAGUGAAAGCGAGCGUUCAAUACGCGUAUUUUGAAAAUUGUUCACGUUAUUUGGAAAUUUAUUUUUGAGUAACGUGAACAUUUUCAAACAGUGACACGUACAUGACCCGAAACCGGGUGACCUAACCAUGACCAGGGUGAAGCGGGUGUAACAACCCGUGGAGGCCCGAACCCACGUGCUGUGCAAAACACGGGGACGAGUUGUGGUUAGCGGAGAAAUUCCAAUCGAACUCGGUAAUAGCUGGUUCUCCCCGAGAUAGCUUUAGGGCUAGCGUCGGUUAAUAGUACAUAGGGGGUAGAGCACUGAAUGGGCUUUGCGGCUUCGGCUAGCGAGCCUAACCAAACUCCGAAUACCUAUGUAUGUUCCCGGCAGUCAGACGAUGGGGGCUAAGCUCCAUCCGUCAAAAGGGUAACAGCCCAGAUCUCAAACUAAGGCCCCUAAAUCGCCAUUAAGUGUGAAAGGUAGUAGGAAGGCUUAAACAACCAGGAAGUUGGCUUAGAAGCAGCCACCUUUUAAAGAUAGCGUAACAGCUCACUGGUCAAGCUUUCCUGC